AGAGCGAACGCUGGCGGCAGGCCUAACACAUGCAAGUCGAGCGCCCGUAGCAAUACGGGAGCGGCAGACGGGAUAGUAACACGUGGGAACGCGCCCUUCGGUUCGGAAUAACUCAGGGAAACUUGAGCUAAUACCGAAUACGCCCUUACGGGGAAAGAUUUAUUGCCGAAGGAACGGCCCGCGUCCGAUUAGCUAGUUGGUGAGGUAAUGGCUCACCAAGGCUACGAUCGGUAGCUGGUCUGAGAGGAUGACCAGCAUCACUGGGACUGAGACACGGCCCAGACUCCUACGGGAGGCAGCAGUGGGGAAUAUUGGACAAUGGGCGCAAGCCUGAUCCAGCCAUGCCGCGUGGAUGAUGAAGGCCUUAGGGUUGUAAACCCCUUUCGGCAGGGACGAAGCGAAAGUGACGGUACCUGCAGAAGAAGCGCCGGCUAACUACGUGCCAGCAGCCGC
rnacentral:rRNA from 1 species